UCCUCCCACUGGUUUUGCAUUGUGAGUGUGUGAGAGUGUUUCUGUGAGUUUAACACUUGAUGACUGAGAGCAGAACACACACACUCUUCAUCAUCAUCAUCAUCAUCAUCACACCAGACUCAACUACAGCUAUGAUCAACAUCUGCAUCUGCGUCUGGACUCUCUAUAUGUGUGUUCAAGGUUUGAGUGGACAGGUGACUGUAACUCAGAGUCCUGCUGGAAAAGUGGCUCAAAUCGGUGAAUCAGUGACGAUGACCUGCAAAACAAACACAGUAGUGAGCGAUAACUGUCCUGGUUCAUAUGCCUGUAUGGCCUGGUAUCAGCAGAAACCUGGAGAAGCUCCUAAACUCCUGAUAUAUGCAAACCGGAGACAGUCAAACACUCCAUCUAGAUUCAGUGGCAGUGGAUCCAGAACUGAUUUUACUCUGAGCAUCAGUGGAGUCCAGACUGAAGAUGCUGGAGAUUAUUACUGUCAGAGUUACCAUGAUAGUUAUGUGUUCACACAGUGA